GUGGGGAAUUUUGGACAAUGGGCGAAAGCCUGAUCCAGCAAUGCCGCGUGUGUGAAGAAGGCCUUCGGGUUGUAAAGCACUUUUGGCAGGGAAGAAACAGUGCGUGCUAAUACCAUGCGCGAAUGACGGUACCUGCAGAAUAAGCACCGGCUAACUACGUGCCAGCAGCCGCGGUAAUACGUAGGGUGCAAGCGUUAAUCGGAAUUACUGGGCGUAAAGCGUGCGCAGGCGGCUUUGUAAGACGGAUGUGAAAGCCCCGGGCUCAACCUGGGAAGUGCAUUCGUGACUGCAAGGCUAGAUUGUGUCAGAGGGAGGUGGAAUUCCGCGUGUAGCAGUGAAAUGCGUAGAGAUGCGGAGGAACACCGAUGGCGAAGGCAGCCUCCUGGGAUAACACUGACGCUCAGGCACGAAAGCGUGGGGAGCAAACAGGAUUAGAAACCCCGGUAGUCC
rnacentral:rRNA from 1 species